AACCGCCCGGUGCGGACCCGCAUGCCGGGUGGUGUGGGAGGGGUCGGGCCGCGAGGCCUGCCCCUAUCCCAAU
rnacentral:ncRNA from 3 species